AAGGAAACAGAAACAGAACAGGGAAAACAAAAACAGAAACAGAAAACCAAAAAAAGAAAAAAAACCCUCUCAUAGCUUUCUUGUUUUGUACCUAAUUUUAAUUUCCAAAAUCUUUUCUCGGUUUUCCCUAACUGCGCUUUGGUUUUUCUUUUCUCUCCAAGGAACUACGUUGUUGUUUUUUCUUCAUUGUUCGUGUUUUCGUGUGUCAGACUUAGAAGAAAUUUUUGUUCUCUUUGAUCAUAUCCUCUAAAUCCUAUCCUGACGUAAUCCAUUUCCUCAUCGACAUCCGAAAACCCAGAAAAAAAAAAUAUUGUUAUUAAAUCUUUCUUAGUCCAUUUUGAUAGGCAAAAGCACCUUCAAUCCUCUGUUUUCUAUUUGAAACCGACCGAAUUAGUCUGAAAAUAAGUUUUUAAUAUCUGGGUUCUUCCCGAAUUCAUCUGAAAUUCAAUUUUGAAUUUCUGGGUAUUGAAAGGACCCUAUGAAAAUCCAUUUUAAUCCGAUAUUUUGAUCUGAAGUGACCAGUAUCGGAUCCGGGAUUUGUUUGUUUUAUCAUGUCAGGGUCUUUAGAUAACUGGAGAAACUAUUUCCGUACUGCAAAUGGGGAUAUUUUCGAUAUCAUCGACCACGCGGUGAUGGUGGCUGCUUUGGAUUGUCCAAAAGAAUUCAGAUUGAGGAGGGAUCGAAUUGCGGAGAAGUUGUUUACGUGUAAAGUGACUCGGUGUUUAGGCUGUGAAAGGGUGGAGUUGAAUGUUCCCUGUAACGAGUCUGAUGAUGAUGAAGAUGAUAUGAUUGGUUGUAAAAGAGAUGAAGGCGGUGGAAGUAAAGAAAGUAAGGUUAAUAGUAGUGGGGAUGAUCGUGAUAAUGAUAAUGAUCAUCAUGUGAAUAUUGAUGAUGAUAAUCAGAUUCUUAGUAAUUUUAGCUAUGGAGAAGCUGAGGCAUUGACUGAUGAGAUUGAAGAGAAGUCACAGAUUGUUGGAGAGGUGUUGAGAAUUAAAGAGAUUAUUGACAACAGCCAAGAUGAGUCUGAUUCCGUGUUGCUUGAUUGCUUGAGGAGGCUUCAAUUGAUGGCUUUGACUGUGGAUACACUCAAGGCAACUGAGAUCGGGAAGGCUGUUAAUGGCCUCAGGAAGCAUGGUUCCAAACAAAUUCGACAUCUUUCUCGAACUCUUAUCGAGGGGUGGAAGGAUUUGGUGGAUGAAUGGGUCAGUGCUACAAAGGCUAUUCCAGUGGUAGCAGAAGGUACACCAGAUUCUGUGGACCCAUCUGUUCUUGACGAAGAAGAAGGGCUUCCUUCCCCUCCUCUGGAUGAUUUAGCUUUCUUUGCUGCUCCAACCGCUGGAAUAGAGCUCUCACAGUUUUUUGAUGGCAUGGAUGAUGAUGGAAAUCCUCGGAACACUGGGGAAUUCAUCAAGAACCGUGAAAAUGGAAGAAAACCAUCAGUGGAGCAGCAGAGUAUUGUCAAGCGAAAACAGCAAACUACAGAUGAGGUGAAUUUGCGUGCCAGGGACAAUAAGAGUCAACAAGUGAAGAGACAGGAAUCUCUUGCGAAACCUAAUAAACCUCCAAACACCAAUUCUGGACCCGGUAGACCUCCCAAGCAAAGUAUGGGGCAAAGAAUAAAUAAUGAAUCAAAGUUGCAGCAAAAAACAGAUAAGGCUGCCAUCCAUAAGAGGCCACAGAAUAGUCAACAAGAUAGAUUCUAAUCUUCAGAUGAAAUUGCGGUCCAAGUAAAACUUGAAGCCACAAAGAGGAAACUUCAAGAGAGUUAUCAACAAGCUCAAAAUGCAAAGAAGCAAAGGACAAUACAAGUCAUGGACUGGCAGGAUCUCCCUAAGCAAGGACUUGGCCAUAGAAAUCCACACGUGAGGCCUGGGAACCAUAACAGGCAUUGGGCAAAUGGUCGGCGGUAAACUCUUCACUUUGGAGCUGUUUUGAUAGCCUCGCAAGUUUCUUCCAUUUAUAAAGCUCUGAUGGGAGAAGACCAAACCCUCGGGUAACUGUCUUGCCUCUCUCAAGUAUCAGCAAUAAGAUUUUGUUCACUCCUGACAGAGAGGUUCAUUCUGAUUCUGAAACACGGAGAAAACAACUUUUGAAACUCUAGUCGUACAUUUCAGAACAUCGAGUCGUAGAGACUUGAUUUGAUAGAAUUAGGGGGUGGGUUAUCUCUUGUUCAUUCAAACUUGUCAAAUUGGUGUUCGAAUGAAUUUCUGUAAAGAGUCUUGAUUUGUACUUGCCCAUUUGAUUGACUACUAAACAUUUUUUUCCCCUCACAAUUGGAACAUUUAUUUCGCAGGAUAAUGUAGCUAACUCUGCACAUAAUAAGUGCUCGUAUAUGUUGUGAUACUCAUCUGUAAGUUACUUAGUAUGAGCAAAUAAGGAGAUUAAAUGUUAUUUUGGAA